CUGAGAGGAGCCUGUGUACCGUCGGUACACAGUAACCUGAACUCAUCACUCUCACUCUCUGAGGGAUGAAGGGACAGAAGAUGGAAGGAGGGUGAAAAAGCAGAUUAGCUUGGCAACACCACUUUGGUGCCCUUAAGCAAGGCCCUUAACCCAAACUGCUCCAGUGGCUAACAGGUCAGACUUUGGUUGUACUUGGCAGCUUCCAGGUGUGAAUGUGUGUAACUGUGUGAUCAGGGCGUUCCUGUAAAGGCUAGGUUCCCUCUCAGUGAAACUAACCUGAAUAAAUUAAGGUGUAAAAAACAUUUUUAGAAAACUGCAUAAGUACCCUCCAGAAGCAAGUAUUUUUGUUGGGGUAUUUUUGCCUCAAGUGAAUAGAUGAACAGUACAGAGCUGACAAGAAAUUAGAAGAAAGGGACAUGGGGGAGGAUUUGCUCUGACUGGUGAUGUAAUGACAUGGUCAGUGUCUUAAUCCCCUAGACCACAAGGACAGUGCAGUUUUUAAAUUGUAAUAGAAUAAAUGAAUAGUAAGAUACAACUGAAGCUCUAUUACAAGAUAUUGUUUACCUUCAAUACUUUUAAGGGCUAAAUGGUCCACAAAUGCAACAUCCCCUGCCCCGCUCCUGAGACAUCUGUGACAGAGAAAAACAGUCAAGCCUGACCUGAGGGCUCCCUGGCUGUUGUAGAAGGGCUCACUGUGGGAUGUUUCACAGUGGUAAUUCUUCUGGCGAAUGUAAGACUUUUGGCCUUGGCAAAGAGCACACAGAGGAGCUGCCAUGGCUGCAGC